GGAGCAUCUCCAUAGCUCAGUGGUAAAGCAUCUGCUUUGCACAGCAAAGGUCCCAUGUUCAAUCCUUAGCAUCUCCA